CCCUCAUGGGCCCUUAUAGGUGGGCUACACACGUCAUAACAAGUGGCUGGUACAAAGGGUUGCCAACCCGCGAGGGGGAGCUAAUCCCAUAAAGCCAGUCGUAGUCCGGAUCGUAGUCUGCAACUCGACUACGUGAAGUCGGAAUCGCUAGUAAUCGUGGAUCAGAAUGUCACGGUGAAUACGUUCCCGGGUCUU
rnacentral:rRNA from 1 species